CACGUAGUUAACCGUGGCUUUCUGGUUAGAUACCGUCAAGGUGGGAACAGUUACUCUCCCACUUAUUCUUCUCUAACAACAGAGUUUUACGAUCCGAAAACCUUCUUCACUCACGCGGCGUUGCUCGGUCAGACUUUCGUCCAUUGCCGAAGAUUCCCUACUGCUGCCUCCCGUAGGAGUCUGGGCCGUGUCUCAGUCCCAGUGUGGCCGAUCACCCUCUCAGGUCGGCUAUGCAUCACGGUCUUGGUAGGCCAUUACCCCACCAACUAACUAAUGCAGCGCGGGCCCAUCCAACAGUGACACCGUAAGGCGUCUUUUAUUAUUCUCCCAUGCGGGAAAACAAAUUAUGCGGUAUUAGCACCUGUUUCCAAGUGUUAUCCCCCUCUGUUGGGCAGGUUGCCCACGUGUUACUCACCCGUCCGCCACUCUUUACUUUCGGUGGAGCAAGCUCCGGUGAAAAGUAAAGCGUUCGACUUGCAUGUAUUAGGCACGCCGCCAGCGUUCGUCCUUGAGCCAGGAUCAAACUCUA
rnacentral:rRNA from 1 species